rnacentral:rRNA from 1 species
AACUUGUGCUAAUACCGAAUAAGCCUUUACAGGGAAAGUUUUAACGCCGAAAGAUGAGCCCGCACUUGAUUAGCUAGUUGGUAAGGUAAAAGCUUACCAAGGCAAUGAUCAAUAGCUGUUCUUAGAGGAAGACCAGCCACAUUGGGACUGAGACACGGCCCAGACUCC